UCUGAUUUCGAUUCCGAUUGUGAACCAAACACUCUUUCAAUCCCUACUCUCCUCUAUGAAUUCAAAUUUUCAUUAUGUUUUCGAUCACGAAUCAAGCGCUUCGGGGGAUUGGCCAUUCUGAUUUCGAUUUCAGGCCAUUUCGAUUCUCAUUCUAAUUUUGAUCGCGAACCAAAAACUCCCAGAGAAGAGUAUGGAUUGAGUUCUAUAUAG
rnacentral:lncRNA from 1 species